GGUUUCUCAGAGUCACCUAAAAACAAGAGAACAGGAAGUGCUCAUUAGCGGUGAUUUCUGCAAGGAUGUGCGGCUGCAGCUAGUGAAGCCAAGAAGAUUCACCCUUAAAAUUCUCAAGGUCAUUAGAAGAAAACAGUGUGUGAAGUAAUGAAUAUGGUACCUGAUACAUAGCAAGUGCCCUGAAACACCCAAGCAAGGGCACCCAGAUGCUGACACAACAGUCCACGUGGAGAAGCACGGAAGAGCAAGGCUAGCAGCAGCUGCAGGAAGAAGGCCUGGUGCUUUACAGGUUGCCCCCUGAGGUUUGGGCUCUGAAAACACUAAGCACGGAAGUGCC